rnacentral:snRNA from 3 species
GGGAUCCCCCAUAUUCUAAAAUUGGAAUGAUACAGAGAAGAUUAGCAUGGCCCCUGCACAAGGAUGACGUGUAAAGUAGGGUUGGUUUGUUUUUGUUU